rnacentral:rRNA from 1 species
AAUGAGCGCUGGCGGCAUGCCUAACACAUGCAAGUCGAACGAAGCCUUCGGGUUUAGUGGCGCACGGGUGCGUAACGCGUGGGAAUCUGCCCCUUGGUUCGGAAUAACAGUUGGAAACGACUGCUAAUACCGGAUGAUGACGUAAGUCCAAAGAUUUAUCGCCGAGGGAUGAGCCCGCGUAGGAUUAGGUAGUUGGUGUGGUAAAGGCGCACCAAGCCGACGAUCCUUAGCUGGUCUGAGAGGAUGAUCAGCCACACUGGGACUGAGACACGGCCCAGACUCCUACGGGAGGCAGCAGUGGGGAAUAUUGGACAAUGGGCGAAAGCCUGAUCCAGCAAUGCCGCGUGAGUGAUGAAGGCCUUAGGGUUGUAAAGCUCUUUUACCCGGGAUGAUAAUGACAGUACCGGGAGAAUAAGCUCCGGCUAACUCCGUGCCAGCAGCCGCGGUAAUACGGAGGGAGCUAGCGUUAUUCGGAAUUACUGGGCGUAAAGCGCACGUAGGCGGCUUUGUAAGUAAGAGGUGAAAGCCCAGAGCUCAACUCUGGAAUUGCCUUUUAGACUGCAUCGCUUGAAUCAUGGAGAGGUCAGUGGAAUUCCGAGUGUAGAGGUGAAAUUCGUAGAUAUUCGGAAGAACACCAGUGGCGAAGGCGGCUGACUGGACAUGUAUUGACGCUGAGGUGCGAAAGCGUGGGGAGCAAACAGG